AGGAAUAUUGGGCAAUGCCCGCAAGGGUGACCCAGCAACGCCGCGUGGGCGAUGAAGGCCUUCGGGUCGUAAAGCCCUUUUUGAGGGGAUGGGAAGGACAGUACCCUCAGAAUAAGCCUCGGCUAACUACGUGCCAGCAGCCGCGGUAAAACGUAGGAGGCGAGCGUUAUCCGGAUUUACUGGGCGUAAAGCGCGUGCAGGCGGAUUGGAGAGUUGGAUGUGAAAGCUCCCGGCUUAACUGGGAGAGGUCGUUCAAUACUUCCAGUCUUGAGUGCAGUAGAGNGAAGUGGAAUUCCGGGUGUAGUGGUGAAAUGCGUAGAUAUCCGGAGGAACACCAGUGGCGAAAGCGGCUUCCUGGACUGUAACUGACGCUCAGACGCGAAAGCUAGGGUAGCAAACG
rnacentral:rRNA from 1 species